GACGAACGCUGGCGGCGUGCCUAAUACAUGCAAGUCGAACGAAGCUGUUUUAACUGGUGCUUGCACCGACUUAAACAACUGAGUGGCGAACGAGUGAGUAACACGUGGGUAACCUGCACCAAAGCGGGGGAUAACAUUUGGAAACAGAUGCUAAUACCGCAUAACCACAGAAACCACAUGGUUUCUGUGUCAAAGAUGGUUUCGGCUAUCACUUUGGGAUGGACCCGCGGCGUAUUAGCUAGUUGGUAAGGUAAUGGCUUACCAAGGCAAUGAUACGUAGCCGAACUGAGAGGUUGAUCGGCCACAUUGGGACUGAGACACGGCCCAAACUCCUACGGGAGGCAGCAGUAGGGAAUCUUCCACAAUGGACGAAAGUCUGAUGGAGCAACGCCGCGUGAGUGAAGAAGGUUUUCGGAUCGUAAAACUCUGUUGUCAGAGAAGAACGUGUGCGAGAGUAACUGUUCGUGCAGUGACGGUAUCUGGCCAGAAAGCCACGGCUAACUACGUGCCAGCAGCCGCCGUAA
rnacentral:rRNA from 1 species